rnacentral:sRNA from 1 species
AUGUCAACUGUUGCACCAGAAUCAGCAUUCAACGCUGGCAGUAGACUGCUUGAUGAAUGUCGAAGCUCACUGAAUCCUGACAUUCGAGAGGCUUUGGUAUGCACACAAGAUUGGUUGCGGGUGGAAUUAAAAGAUGACAAUUCAUUGUCAAGCCAUUCUGCUAGACCAAUCCCUUCAGCCAGACUAAUUCUUGCUGAGUAGUUAAUUUUCCGAUGGUUGAUGGAUCAGCUAUUGGCCAAUCCGGUGCUGUUAAAAUGAUGUCAGCCACACCUAGAGCUGUCUGGGCAGUGAACCUUACCUAUAUUUUUCAUGUCAAUACAUCACAUGAGACUCGGUAAUCGCCUGCAGUUCCUUGUCAAGCUUAAUUGUAAAUUUUAGGAUGUCAACCAGAUCCCCACAUCUGUACGUAAAUUAGAGAGACCUCCUUCGCCAUGUUUUAGAUUGACCAGAAGCUGAAAUUAACAAAAUGUGGGAUGCUCAAUCAGUAAUCUAUAUAUUUAUGUAUUACUUUACCGGUAGAUAUAGACAAGCUUU